rnacentral:sRNA from 1 species
AAACCUUCGUUGAUCGGGGUUGGGUUGUUUACCAGAGCCGCCGAGCCCUAGCUGUAGUGCAUCACGUCCGUCCCGUUCAGGACCAGCCAGGCGAGCAGGAGCGCGGGAACCAGCGCGCGAUGCACGAUCGGUCGCUGCAGGAGGAUCAGGACCACCAGCGGCAAGCAGUAGACCGGCAGCUCCCAACCGAACGUCCAGAACCAUGCCGACAGGCUCGCCGGAUCGUUGAUGCGCAGGAAGACCGAGGCGGCGGCGAACGCCGUGAUCAUGCCGAUCAGGGACGCCCAGACGAACCGGUUCUGCGACCAGUAGUGAGCCAUCAGGUCGACCUCUUCGGCGUCGCUGUCGUCCGGCAACACAGACUUGGCGGCCAGGAACAGGCAGGUCAGCUGGAUCAGGAUCAACAGGAACUGCCACAUCGGCGUGUUGAUCCAGUCGGGCUCCCAGGCGAUCCACCAGCUGCGGACGAUGACGACGAAAACCAGGGCGGCGGCCGUGAGCGGCAGCCAAUCCCAUCGUACGCGGCUGACGCGCCGUAGCAGGCCGUGCACGCUCAGGAUCAUGUCGGUGAUCGCCAGGCCGGUGAUGAUGGCCAACAGGCCCAGAAAGUAUUCCUUGAGUUCCAUGGCGCCCCCCCAGCCCCUUCGCAUUUCAGCGUUUGGCGACGGAGAAAAUGCGAUUCGGCUGGGUGUUGUGAAGCGGGGGCGGGCGAUCCGGGGGGCGCAAAGAAAAGGGCCUCCGGAUCGCUCCGAAGGCCCUUCGCAUCAGUGGUUGU